ACCAUCAUGCUCUUGUCAUUUCCGGGCGAACUGUUGCUUAAUAUGCUGCGAACGGAUCAUCCUUCCACUCGUCAUAGCAAGUCUAACUACAGCUGUAGCAGGACUGAAUGCUGCAAAGCGGGUAAAAUUGGUCGCCGAACCCUAAUUUACUAUUUGUCCACCAUGGUCUUAGCAGCGCUUUUGGAUGUGUUACUGGUUCUGACCAUUAAGCCUGGCAAAGAGGAUAAGCCUUAAAAGGAAGGACCAUCUUUCAAGAGAAUGGAAUGUAGAAACCUUGAUUCUAUUUUGGACGUGAUAAGAAACUGUUUUCCCAGUAAUUUAAUAGGGGCCACUUUAAAGCAGACUCUAACCUAACCAUUGCCACAAAUGAGAAAAUGAUUUCAACAUUUCAAAAUGGUUCAGAAAUAAUCUCAACAGUGUCAAAGCAGAU